AGUGGCGACAAUAGCACGUUGAAUGCACCAGUUCCCAGAGGAUCACCGAAGUUAAGCAUCAUUGAGUAUGGUUGAUAUCCGGAUGUGUGACCAUCUGAACAUGUAUGUAAACACGAAAC
rnacentral:rRNA from 1 species